CUCCCGCUAGUUCAAACGGUGAGAACUCACGGCUUCAGGUCCGUGCGAUCGGGGUUCGAGCCCUCGGUGGGAAG
rnacentral:tRNA from 1 species